UCCUCCCCUUUCUCCCUCAAACUUUCGGCCCACUCCCCCAUUCUCUCCCUCACACUUUCUUCUUCUUAUUCCUCCAUUUUUGACAAAGGACAAUUCUUCCAAGACUUUCCCUUUUCACACCCACAAACUAAAGAAGUGCCUCAAGCCUUUCCAAGCUUCAAGCUCAAGCAUGAAGUAGGAAAAGCUUCAAGAAAUCCUAAGCAUCAUCUACUUUCCUCGGUUUCCUUGGAGUAAGCUUCUAAUCUUCCUUUUGUGGGUAUAUAAGCAUCAUAUGAGUCAUGCAUGUGUGUUUUGAAGCAUGAAAAAUCCUUCCCCUCAUGUUCAUGGAAUUUUCGAAAAACAUGGUCCUUGAGGGAACCACAAAUUUGUGCGAGGGGCGGGGGCGGGAGCGAUACGAUUCAGGUACGAGUGACAGCCGACGUUAGAACGACGCCGAGCUUUACUUCAUCAACCCCGAACACAAGUUGAGCAGCCGUCGGUGGUGAUGAAGUGACGAGCGGAAUUUCUUUUGUCUUAGUCUUAUGUAUUAAUGAACUCUUUGGGCUACAUGUCUUCAUACAUGUAAUCAGAACCCUUAUUCCGCUGCGUACUUAGAAAUCUUAUGUUGUUUUGGCUAAGUCGGAGCUAUCCGAACUUACUAGCUUAUUCGAGUCAUUUUGACUAAACAUCUGUUGUUUUAUAAGUCUUCCCUUUGUUAGAACUAUUAAGUAUGAUCCUUCGCUAUUGUUAC